UAAAAUAUAGUUUAAAAAAAUUUUAAUUUUAAUAAUUAAGUGUACUAUUAUAGUUGUUUUAG
rnacentral:tRNA from 1 species